AGCGAACGCUGGCGGCAGGCCUAACACAUGCAAGUCGAACGAACCCUUCGGGGUUAGUGGCGGACGGGUGAGUAACACGUGGGAACGUGCCGUUAGGUUCGGAAUAACUCAGGGAAACUUGUGCUAAUACCGAAUGUGCCCUUCGGGGGAAAGAUUUAUCGCCUUUAGAGCGGCCCGCGUCUGAUUAGCUAGUUGGUGAGGUAAUGGCUCACCAAGGCUACGAUCAGUAGCUGGUCUGAGAGGAUGACCAGCCACAUUGGGACUGAGACACGGCCCAAACUCCUACGGGAGGCAGCAGUGGGGAAUCUUGCGCAAUGGGCUAAAGCCUGACGCAGCCAUGCCGCGUGGAUGAUGAAGGUCUUAGGAUUGUAAAAUCCUUUCACCGGUGAAGAUAAUGACUGUAGCCGGAGAAGAAGCCCCGGCUAACUUCGUGCCAGCAGCCGCCGUAACAC
rnacentral:rRNA from 1 species